GAUGAACGCUGGCGGCGUGCUUAACACAUGCAAGUCGAACGGAAAGGCCCAAGCUUGCUUGGGUACUCGAGUGGCGAACGGGUGAGUAACACGUGGGUGAUCUGCCCUGCACUUCGGGAUAAGCCUGGGAAACUGGGUCUAAUACCGGAUAGGACCACUUCUUGGAUGUUGUGGUGGAGAGUUUUUUCGGUGUGGGAUGAGCUCGCGGGCUAUCAGCUUGGUGGUGGGGUAAUGGCUUACCAAGGCGUCGACGGGUAGCCGGCCUGAGAGGGUGUACGGCCACACGGGAGCUGAGAGACGGUCCUGGCUCUUACAGGAGGCAGCAGUAGGGAAGCGUCCGAGAUGGGCGAAAGCUUGAAGAAUGAACGCAGCGGGAGUGAAGAAGGGCCGCGGAGGGGAAAACGCUGUUAUGGGUGAAGACCAAUUGUGUAAGGAACGAUGCAUUUCUUGACGGUACCUAAUCAGAAAGCCCCGGCUAACUACGUG
rnacentral:rRNA from 1 species